rnacentral:tRNA from 2 species
GCACAUGUAGCUCAAUUGGUAGAGCAGCGGUCUCCAAAGCCGCGGGUUCCAGGUUCGAGUCCUGGCGUGUGUG